AACAAUCUUGAAAAAAAAAAAAGGCCUAUUGUGCAUAUUAAAAACCAUGAUUUUUAUAAAUGUGAUCUCCCUUAGUUUCUGAACUACUGCUGUGGACAUUUUUGGUGAUAUAUUGUCGUACUCUACUGAGUGCAUAAAUGAUUACUUGCAGCAACUAUCUGAAGAAAAUUUUUUCACAAAUUAACAUAGUGGGGUAUGCAAGUUUAUUCAUUGUUAUUGGAUAUCUUCACUGCAGAAGGUGGUUGAGACAUCCACUUUGAGUCUUUUUUUCUCAAAGAAAUAUCUUUCUAAAAUUUUAACUUUUAAGUGCUGCUAAAUCCCAAUAUGCAUCUGUUAGCAUGAAUUUCCUUACAGGCUUUUAUGCUAUACUAAGAACUGGU
rnacentral:misc_RNA from 1 species